CCCUUAGAUGUUCUGGGCCGCACGCGCGCUACACUGACGAAGUCAGCGAGCAUGUCCUACGCCGACAGGUGCGGGGAAUCUUGUCAAACUUCGUCGUGAUGGGGAUUGAUUAUUGAAAUUCUUGAUCAUCAACGAGGAAUUCCUAGUAAGCGCAAGUCAGCAGCUUGUGUUGAUUACGUCCCUGCCCUUUGUACACACCGCCCGUCGCUACUACCGAUUGAAUGGUUUAGUGAGAUCUUCGGAUUGGUCUCGGCCCGCUCUUUACCGGGCGGCGCCGUUGGUCGAGAAGACGCUCGAACUUGAUCGUUUAGAGGAAGUAAAAGUCGUAACA
rnacentral:rRNA from 1 species